rnacentral:rRNA from 1 species
UCCGUAGGUGAACCUGCGGAAGGAUCAUUACCUAGAGUUGUAGGCUCUGCCUGCUAUCUCUUACCCAUGUCUUUUGAGUACCUUCGUUUCCUCGGCGGGUCCGCCCGCCGAUUGGACAAUUUAAACCAUUUGCAGUUGCAAUCAGCGUCUGAAAAAACUUAAUAGUUACAACUUUCAACAACGGAUCUCUUGGUUCUGGCAUCGAUGAAGAACGCAGCGAAAUGCGAUAAGUAGUGUGAAUUGCAGAAUUCAGUGAAUCAUCGAAUCUUUGAACGCACAUUGCGCCCCUUGGUAUUCCAUGGGGCAUGCCUGUUCGAGCGUCAUUUGUACCUUCAAGCUUUGCUUGGUGUUGGGUGUUUGUCUCGCCUCUGCGCGUAGACUCGCCUCAAAACAAUUGGCAGCCGGCGUGUUGAUUUCGGAGCGCAGUACAUCUCGCGCUUUGCACUCAGAACGACGACGUCCAAAAGUACAUUUUUACACUCUUGACCUCGGAUCAGGUAGGGAUACCCGCUGAACUUAAGCAUAUCAAUAAGCGGAGGAA